rnacentral:rRNA from 1 species
UGGGGAAUUUUGGACAAUGGGGGAAACCCUGAUCCAGCCAUCCCGCGUGUGCGAUGAAGGCCUUCGGGUUGUAAAGCACUCUUGGUAGGAAAGAAACGUCAUGGGUUAAUACCCCGUGAAACUGACGGUACCUGCAGAAUAAGCACCGGCUAACUACGUGCCAGCAGCCGCGGUAAUACGUAGGGUGCAAGCGUUAAUCGGAAUUACUGGGCGUAAAGCGUGCGCAGGCGGUUCGGAAAGAAAGAUGUGAAAUCCCAGAGCUCAACUUUGGAACUGCAUUUUUAACUACCGGGAUAGAGUGUGUCAGAGGGAGGUGGAAUUCCGAGUGUAGCAGUGAAAUGCGUAGAUAUGCGGAGGAACACCGAUGGCGAAGGCAGCCUCCUGGGAUAACACUGACGCUCAUGCACGAAAGCGUGGGGAGCAAACAGG